rnacentral:rRNA from 1 species
GAUGAACGCUGGCGGGGUGCCUAAUACAUGCAAGUCGAGCGAACGGACGAGAAGCUUGCUUCUCUGAUGUUAGCGGCGGACGGGUGAGUAACACGUGGAUAACCUACCUAUAAGACUGGGAUAACUUCGGGAAACCGGAGCUAAUACCGGAUGAUAUUUUGAACCGCAUGGUUCAAAAGUGAAAGACGGUCUUGCUGUCACUUAUAGAUGGAUCCGCGCUGCAUUAGCUAGUUGGUAAGGUAACGGCUUACCAAGGCAACGAUGCAUAGCCGACCUGAGAGGGUGAUCGGCCACACGGGAACUGAGACACGGUCCAGACUCCUACGGGAGGCAGCAGUAGGGAAUCUUACGCAAUGGGCGAAAGCCUGACGGAGCAACGCCGCGUGAGUGAUGAAGGUCUUCGGAUCGUAAAACUCUGUUAUUAGGGAAGAACAUAUGUGUAAGUAACUGUGCACAUCUUGACGGUACCUAAUCAGAAAGCCACGGCUAACUACGUG